UACGUUCCCGGGCCUUGUACACACCGCCCGUCACACCAUGGGAGUUUGUUGCACCAGAAGUAGCUAGCCUAACUGCAAAGAGGGCGGUUACCACGGUGUGGCCGAUGACUGGGGUGAAGUCGUAACAAGGUAGCCGUAGGGGAACCUGCGGCUGGAUCACCUCCUUA
rnacentral:rRNA from 1 species